rnacentral:rRNA from 1 species
AAAACAAUGAGUUUGAUCGUGGCUCAGAUUGAACGCUGGCGGCAUGCCUAACACAUGCAAGUCGAACGGGUAACAGGUCUUCGGAUGCUGACGAGUGGCGGACGGGUGAGUAACGCGUAGGAAUCUGUCUUUGAGUGGGGGACGAACCCAGGGAAACUUAGGGCUAAUAACCGCCAUAAAGCCCUCGAGGGGGAAAGGACGGGGGAGUCUUCGGACCUCGCGCUGGAAGAGGAGCCUACGUCUGAUUAGCUAGUUGGUAGGGUAAAGGCCUACCAAGGCGACGAUCGGUAGCUGGUCUGAGAGGACGACCAGCCACACUGGGACUGAGACACGGCCCAGACUCCUACGGGAGGCAGCAGUGGGGAAUUUUUCGUCAAUGGGGGCAACCCUGACGAAGCAAUGCCGCGUGAAUGAAGAAGGCCUUCGGUUGUAAAGUUCUUUCGUGG